UGAAUAGUCGCGUAUAGCAGGGUCGAAAGACAGCGUACGAGGAAAGUCCGGGCUCCAUAGAGCAGGGAUGCUAGAUAACGUCUAGUGAGGGUAACCUUAAGGAAAGUGCAACAGAAAAGAACCGCCUCUUUUGGGAGGUAAGGGUGAAAAGGUGAGGUAAGAGCUCACCGCUUCUUUUGGUGACAAGAGAAGGCUAUGUAAACCCCAUCCGGAGCAACACCGUGAUAAAAAAGAAAAUAAGUUGCUCGCUUUUUUCUUUUUCGUUUAUUAUGGUGGCUUUGAGCCCUAUAGUGAUAUAGGGAGUAGAUAAAUGACUAUUCAUGACAGAACCCGGCUUAUAGAUUUACUUCU
rnacentral:RNase_P_RNA from 1 species